rnacentral:rRNA from 1 species
GCUAUGCCCGAUCUCGUCUGAUCUCGGAAGCUAAGCAGUGUCGGGCCUUGUUAGUACUUGGAUGGGAGACCGCCUGGGAAUACCAGGUGCUGUAAGCUU